CAAAGUCCAAAUUAUUGUACCAUUUUCGUCAAAGAAAUAAAUCUUCAUUUCUGUUGGGAGAAAAAAAAAGAAAGGCUUACAAACUUAAUUAGUCUGACAGCAAGAUAACAAUAAAAAAACCGUGACGCUCACCUGUCAAACUAGAUAACUGGUUGCUGUUCAUGACAAGUUGGUCUGAAGCCGUCAGAAUAAUUUACAGCCAUGUAAAUUUCUUUUUAAGAUACCCUUGUGUGGAAUCUAUUACUUUCAAACUCUGAAUCAUCCAUUCCAUGACCAGGGAUAUUAUAUAUA
rnacentral:lncRNA from 1 species